GCUGCACUGAGGCUUGGCAUCAGCUUUCUGUUCACCGUGGACUGCGUAAAGAAGGCAGGAGGCAAGAGGCAGAAAAUGGGAAGCACGGACCAACAAAAUAGUUGCAGUACACACAGGUAGAUGAGAUGUUGGAAGUCGUUGCAGCACUGCCUUUCAAGAGACAAUAUCAUUGAUCGGCAAUUGUCUUCUCGUAUUAGUGCAUUAUUGCAAUUCAACAAUACUACUGAUAUCUACGGAGAAAGGCUGAGCACAUCACUAAUACGUCUACAUAGCUUAAGCUAUUCAUUUUAACUGAAAUACAGCCGCUGACUUCACUGGGACUUCCUGCUUCCAGAAGUAUUAAUGAAGAGUUCAGUGGGAUUGUACAGGAUUAACGGAAGCCUUGACCAUGAUGGAGAGUUGUAAGACUUUUAAAGAAUCCAGAUAAACCAAUACAAGUUAUUUCCUGGCCUCCCUUCCGUGACCUAUGACCGAUGAUGACCUUUAGCUAGAGAAUGUGACAUUUUGUUCUCCUCUGGCUGACAUGUGAUGCCCUCAUUAUUCAAAGGUUUUAUUGAUAUCAUACCAGAAAGCUGGUUUCAGCUCCUGGCAAACUGGCAGCACAAGAGAAGGAUUUCCUGGAUGUCAUCUUCAUUCAAACACUGAUAAAGUGCAGCCAAAGGAGGGAAGACAAACAAAACAUGUAAAGCAUUGCUGGAGAAGGAAGGAACUAGACAAGAAACCACAGCCUGGUUGUAAUGAAGAAGUGAAACUGGACAACUAUCAGCACUUAUGCUUUGUUUUUACAGUGAAAGCAUGCAUGCACACAUAUAACCUGACUUCACUGAGCAUGUCCUGCUUGAACCUGAGGGUCCCAGCCAUCAUCACAACUAAGAAGAAGAUAUGAAAUACCCACCCUAGCUAAACUUAUUGCGGUGAUGACUAGAAGGACGACAGAAAGGGGAGGAAACAGAGAGCCGGGCACUGUAGCAACACAAAGGACACUGUUCAGUUUCCAUCAAAAGACAAUCCACAUGGCUCCCCGUGUCAGAUGGCUGUUAGUAGAUCUCACGUCUUCUCUUUUACUAGGCCUCCUGUCUUCUAUUUUACAUUUGUUGUGUUCAGCUGAUUUUCUAUCACUGUACCAAUCAAAUGCAUUCGUUCA